AUGUAGAUCACCUGGAGGCCUUGGUAAAACGCAGAUUCAGAUUCAGCAGGUCUAGGGUGAGGCCUGGGAUUCUGCAUUUCUAACCAGCUCCCAGGUGAUGAUGAC
rnacentral:pre_miRNA from 1 species